UUUGGCCCUGGGAAUCGGAAGCACCCAAUUUGUUAAUACCUAGUUGCUCUAUUUAGUGGUAGAUCCGAUUUAAAGUGUUCAAAUUGAAGAAAUUUUAGCUCAAAUUCGGUUGAGUUUGAAUCCUCUUUGAGUAAGGCUUCUCUCGUCACUCCCAUUCCUUGACUUGUUCAAAGGUUAAGUUUUCUUCUUCUUUAUCCCUUUCUUGCUAUGCCCAUUUUGCCAUAAUUCAGUAUCAGAGAUGUUGCUGCCAGCUGCCGCAACUGGACUUCCUAAAACAAGAGAUAUUGAUUCUGUAGAGAUACAACGGAGUGGAAGGUACAAUUUUACGAAAAAUAAACACUACAUAGUACAGGUCAUUUCAGGGAAGAUUCAAAUUGCUUCUUCUCUGUUGGGCGUCUCAAGUAUAAUGAAUUAAGACUUGAUAGAGACAAUCCUCUCUUCAUGAUGGAGCCUCGUCUGUAUUGAUCUAUUGUGUUAAUAGUAGGUACUCCACUCUUGACAACCAAGCAUUUUCAGACUAGAUUGGUAGGGGCCGCGCGAACGCAGGCCCCCUCUACCACAAAUUAUGACGUAGGCUCUCCCACUUGGGGAGACCUUAGAGUGGUGCAGCUUCCAAGUGCAAUGAAGGCCACCACCCUAGGCCAUGGGCCUUCCGGAACACCCAUUGACCCCGUCCAGGUAAGUAUGUUGAUAUGAAAUUGGAGCUCCUUAUUUAUACACUUAUUGUCUAGUUAUUGCUUUGUUUCUACACCAUGUGGGACUCCAUGCAAUGAAUAGACACGAGGCAGUGUGAGUUCAAUGUGUUCUUUUUUGUUUUGCAUAAGAAAUGAAUUUCUUAUUCAAUUUAUUGCAUGGCAAUGCUGUCAACGUUCAAAGUUUUUCUGAAUCUGAGGCUGAGAGACCGUUGCCUCAACAUAUUAUUUUUGUCACUUAGAAGGAAUUUUGCUCCUCCAAAGAUGCUGCUGCAGUCAAUGAAGAGCGAUUGUCUGCUGAGCUUUCAAUGGUGAGUUUACGAAAAUUGUUAGCUACAUAUAUAUUAUUUAGUAUUAGCCUUCAUUGCAGGGGAAGUUAAUCAAUGAAAGAUUUGAAUUAUUUUUGGUUACAUAGUUCCUGUGAAUGAGUAAAAUAACUGGUGAAGGGAAGAUCUUGCCUUUGAGUUGGGUUUGCGUUUUGCUGUGUCUUGACAAUCGUCCCUUUUUUUAGGGUGGAACAAAAUAUAAUUUUGUUUUUUUUGGGUAAUUACAUUAGACUGGGUGUAUGCUUUGGCAUUGUAGUUGCAUUUUAUUCUUUAUUUCGUGGGGAUUGUCAUAAUAACUUUGCCAAUUAUAUGGGUAAAUAAGCUUAUCAAAUGCAUAAGGAAAGUUGCAGGAGAGCUUGAAGGGAGGCAUAAAGGCUAUGGAAGUGAGAUUUUAUAGAAUUUGGUCAAUUUCGAUGAAUGAACUUGAAAUGGAAGUUUCUCAAUCAAGGAAGCAUUGGUACUGCUGGAGUUAAAAUCCUGUCCUUGCCCUAAAGUAGGUCAUACACAUGACUCCAUAGUAGGAAGUGUACCAAAAUUCAGUUUAUGAAAGCCAUUUCAGCCACCGUUUGGGCUGUCUAGGAAAAACAUCAUUGGCUUAAACAUGCAUGUUCAGUUCAUCUUGGAAGUUAACUAUAACCUUAACCAUUCAAACUGCUUUGACAUGAUGGUUUACGGUUGAAGAUAUUUUAGUUUCCAGUGUAUGUAUAGCUUGCCAUGUUAAUAUGACAAGAACCAGUAGAUACCAUUUAUGAUUAAAAUGUUACUAUUCUUCACACUACGACGGGAAUUUCAGUGGAAUACAUUUAUUGAUGUGGGCAUGUAAACUUACAAUUUGUAAGUUAACAAUGUAUACAGAGCAAACUUGCAUUAAGUGACACCACAUUCAGGCCAUUUUAAUGACCAUCA